AUGGGGGCACGUGCACGCUCUGUUCACACAUCCACUCACACCUGUGCACCCACUGUAGUUCUGUGGCCUGGGGGACCUGUCCCCCUUGCUGUGGUUCUAUGUCUUUACACACACACCGUAACAAAGUCUUAUGGAAUGUAUACCGCGUCUAACGCAUUACAAUACAACUUUCAGCAACGGAUCUCUUGGCUCUCGCAUCGAUGAAGAACGCAGCGAAAUGCGAUAAGUAAUGUGAAUUGCAGAAUUCAGUGAAUCAUCGAAUCUUUGAACGCACCUUGCGCCCUUUGGCUAUUCUGAAGGGCAUGCCUGUUUGAGUAUCAUGAACACCUCAACUCUCACGGUUUGCCGUGAUGAGCUUGGACUUUGGGGGUCUUGCUGGCCUAUGGUCGGCUCCUCUCAAAUGGAUCAGCUUGCCAGUGUUUGGUGGCAUCGCAGGUGUGAUAACUAUCUACGCUUGUGGUCUCCACCAGGUAACCCUCAGUGAUGGGGGUUCGCUGGAGCUCAUAAAUGUCUCUCCUCAGUGAGGACAGCUUUUGAACGUUUGAUCUCAAAUCAGGUAGGACUACCCGCUGAACUUAAGCAUAUCAAUAAGCGGAGGAAAAGAAACUAACAAGGAUUCCCCUAGUAACUGCGAGUGAAGCGGGAAGAGCUCAAAUUUAAAAUCUGGCGUG
rnacentral:rRNA from 1 species